CUUCGUGCUCCCGCAUAAGUUUACAGUGCUUCUUUAGUUUGUACUUGAUUCAUUUUUUGCAUGUUUGUAACUCGUUAGUUUUCUGAUUUCCCUGGGCUGCCUCUUGUGUUUUUUCCUGCCACCUGCAUCUUUUUUCCCUAGCUUUUUGGAUUUUGUGUUUAGACUCCCAGCAAAUUGAUCCUUCUCAGAUACCAGUGGGGUAGAAUUUAUGCUCCAUCUUGGAUUUUUACAUCGACUUCGUUUAUUGUGAUGAAUUCCUAGAAUGCACAUGAGGACUGGAGGUGGCUGCAUCCUCUAUAGAUGUCAGUGACUGGCUGGUUGAUGAACCCUCCUGUAGCCAAACUGUCUCUGCAGGCUUCAUGCUAGACGUUCCCAUUGGCUCCUCACCACGAAUCAAUUAAUUGUCUUGAGCACCGGUGGGACUCAAAAACAAAGGACUCACAUUUAUCAUGUACAGUCAGGUUUGUGUAGUUGCAGGUGCCAUAUACAAUAUUCACCUGCUGUGUAUGAUUGCAUGUGGCAUCUCUAGGCUUCAAACUGCUAUAUGGUCCCAGACUGAAGACAAAAACCUUCAUGUUAUUGUGUGAUCUUGUGUUUCCUCUGCAGCAAAACGCGCUCAUUAAACAUGCUACAGAAAACUGA